UCUCGAUAGCGUAAAAGUUAAAUCAAAUUUGUAUGGAGUUGGAACGUUCGCCAACGUUUGCCGCUAGGGGCGCUGUUUCAACUGCAUACUAAUUUGAGCUACUUUUACGCUGUCGA
rnacentral:pre_miRNA from 9 species